GACGAACGCUGGCGGCGUGCUUAACACAUGCAAGUCGAGCGGGAACCUCGGGAGGGGGUAACCCUUCCGAGGGGAGAGCGGCGAACGGGUGAGUAACACGUGGGCAACCUGCCCCGGACACCGGGAUAACCCAGGGAAACCUGAGCUAAUACCGGAUACUCCGGCACGAUCGCAUGGUCGUUCCGGGAAAGCUCCGACGGUCCGGGAUGGGCCCGCGGCCUAUCAGCUUGUUGGUGAGGUAACGGCCCACCAAGGCGACGACGGGGUAGCUGGUCUGAGAGGACGGCCAGCCACACUGGGACUGAGACACGG
rnacentral:rRNA from 1 species